rnacentral:rRNA from 1 species
GAUGAACGCUAGCGGGAGGCCUAACACAUGCAAGCCGAGCGGUAGAGAUUCUUCGGAAUCUUGAGAGCGGCGUACGGGUGCGGAACACGUGUGCAACCUGCCUUUAUCAGGGGGAUAGCCUUUCGAAAGGAAGAUUAAUACCCCAUAAUACAUUAAGUGGCAUCACUUGAUAUUGAAAACUCCGGUGGAUAAAGAUGGGCACGCGCAAGAUUAGAUAGUUGGUAGGGUAACGGCCUACCAAGUCAGUGAUCUUUAGGGGGCCUGAGAGGGUGAUCCCCCACACUGGUACUGAGACACGGACCAGACUCCUACGGGAGGCAGCAGUGAGGAAUAUUGGACAAUGGGUGAGAGCCUGAUCCAGCCAUCCCGCGCGAAGGAUGACGGCCCUAUGGGUUGUAAACUUCUUUUGUAUAGGGAUAAACCUUUCCACGUGUGGAAAGCUGAAGGUACUAUACGAAUAAGCACCGGCUAACUCCGUGCCAGCAGCCGCGGUAAGAC